GCGCUCCAGUCCCUCAUCCCAAGGGAAGAGGAGAGGCAUGAAAACGCAAAGUAUAACCUUUUCCUUAACAGCCUACAGUGUGAUGGUGCUUCUCCCCCACCAGCAUGGCGGGAGAGGGCGACGGAGAGCUCGGAAAGCUCACGCAACACUCCCCACUCGGAGAAUAGGAGCUGUUGGUGCUACUGUGCAGCUGCUGUCAUGAAUUUGGUUGCUGUUUGUUGCACCACCUCCUUGAUACCCACUGAAGCAACAGUUCAGAGGAAACUUUUCAGUACAUGACUCUUAACAGUGACUUACCUGAAGAGCUUAUUCUUCUACUCUGAUUAACUGUGCUGU